AACCUGGGACCUGCCUGUCUUCGGAGCCAGUCUGAAUUGUACACAGUGAUGCUCACCCAAUUAAUUUUCACUGGCUUGGGGAUAUAUUUUUUUUAAGAAGACAUUUUUCCAGGGGGAAAAACACGCAGGAGCUAUAAUUAGUUGGGAAGAGGAAAGAAGAGCGGAGUGUGUGAAUCACCAGCCCCAGUGACAGACUGUUGGAGCCGAGCAGAAGUUUCAAGAGAAGCCACUGGGUUGUGGGUGAGUUGGGGUGGUGUGUCGUGGGGAUGGCGCGCUGCCGCAGGCAGGCUGGGGUCCUGGAACACCAGGUCCAGGGAUGGGCACCUUCACCCCUCACCCUGAAGAGUCUUUUGCCCCGCCUCUCCCCAGACCCUGUCACCCGACACCCUAUCCCAGCGUUCAGCUUCCCUGCAGCUCCUGUCUGCCCUGACUGACCCCAGGACCUCUCCCCUCCCCAGUCCUUGCUGACACAAGCCUGAGCAGAGAGACUAGCACUCAAAUGAGGAGAGAGAAACUGUAGAGGAUUUGAGCUCCAGGGUUUGGAGACUGUCCAGUCCAACUCCUUAUUCAUUCAUUCAUUCAUUCAUUCAUUCAUGCAUGCAUGCAUUCAUUCACUUAGUCAUCAAAUACUGAACUACUGCUCUGUGCCUAGCCCACAGACAAGCAAACUGAGGCCCAGGGAAGUGCCAGGCCUUGCCCAAGGCCAUACAUCUGUGAGUGGUGCAGCCUCUCUGCCUGUCCGUCAUCACUAGCUCUGCUGAGCCAGGCCCUGGCCAGGGCUCUGACCACCAAGGUGACCACAACUGGAACCCACUCUCACAGAGCCCCUAUCCCAAUGGGGAAGCAACCAGGUACCUGUUAGACAAGGAGCCUGGAGGUAGUUCCUGACCAGCCUGGUGGACAUGGAGGACUUCCCAGGGGAGGAGGAAAAGCAGCAUGACAGCGGCCAUCAUGCUGGGAAGGACCUUAAAUGACUCAGUGUGCCUAAGCUCGGGGAGUGGCAGGAAUUGGGGUCAGGGUUGCUAGAGAGUGAGGCUUCUUGGACCAGGUCAUUACAAUGCCCAUUUUGCCCACAUUUCUCCUGAGCUCCUGCCUGAAUGGGCAUGACCUGCUGGCCAGGGGCACCCUGGGGCAAUGCUCACCAUGUGGACUUGGUCCUUGGAGACCCUCCACUAGUUCUUCCUGAUGCCGGGAGCACCAGUCAGUCAGUGGACCGGACAGUCAGUGACCAAGGAGUGUGGCCCUGGGUUUCUCCCUCCCUCCUUCUCCCCUGGCUGAGGACCGGCUGCCUGACUCUCUAGGGGCCCCAGCUCAGGCCUCAGGAGGGAGCACACUGGAGCAGUGUGGCCUGGAACUGAGAGCAGAGGCCCCAGGUCCCCAGGGAGGGGAUGCUUCCUCCCCUGGGAGAGCGUGGCAUCAUUCGGCACACAGAGAGCUCCCUUCUAACCCCAGACCAAAUUAGCCUUCCAAAUUAUAGGCUGCGUUUCCUCUAAAUUGGAGACUGGGUGGGAGAACAGAGGCCCGGCUCUCCUUCCUGCUUCCUGUUCACAGAGGGCCCUCAGUUGGUCUAGUCCCAGAUCACAGGACCACAUUCAGAAAGAAUUCAGGACACACACACCCUCCUGCCCCUCAGUUCAGGGAUCCCCAGGUCCCAGACCAGCAUCCAGGGCUCAGGGGAAGCCUGUACCCUUCUGGGGUUUGACAACGAACUUAGAGCCAGCAUGGUUCAGAUAAGGCCAACCCAGAGUUCUGAGGUCAUUUUCCGGGGGGAAGUCAUUCAUUCAAAAAACACUUUCUGGGUACAUUCUCUGUGCCAGGUACAGGACAGAAUGAGAAGGUGCACAGGUGGCUGUGGGAAUGCCUGGUGAGGUUAGGGAGGGCUUCCUGGAGGAAGAGGCAUAUAAACUGAGACCCCAAAAAAUGAAUGUGCUCUUGGUGAGGGGAAGAGAGGGGAAGACAAUUAUAGGAGGAAGGAGCAUUGAACGAAAAUCCCAGGAGCAGAGAGUGAGGGAGUGGGCAUCAAGAAGUGGGUGGAAACAUUGGUUUGUCCAGAUUAGGGGGUGGGGAGGAGUGUCAGUCAGCCACAUUGGGAGGAUUGCAUUUCAUCAGGGAGGAGGCCUUUGAGCAGGGGUGAGGGGGUGGGGGGUGCUGUGCAGAAGCAGGGCUGGACCCAUUGCCUGACCCAAACAGAGGGCUCCUUGGGAUCUCUCACACUGGCCUCCCUUAGGCCCCUUCCACAUGGCCUCAGGCCUUUGGAGAAAUAAUUAAAUUUACUUCAAGGAAAACAUGGGACACGGGUUUUAUUUCACGUGACCUGAAAUGAAGGUGGCUUCCUAUGUUUUUGCUAAUUGACUUGGGACUUUUUGUGGUUUUCUUUUAGAAGAAAAUUAUUCUAGAUGUUGAGAAUAAGUGC
rnacentral:lncRNA from 1 species